CCCUUAGAUGUUCUGGGCUGCACGCGUGCUACACUGAUAUUGCCAAUAUGUCAUUCUUAUCCGAAAUGGAUUGGGUAAUCAAGUAAUGAAAUUUCAUGCUUGGAAUCGGUAAUUGCAAUUUUAUCGUGAACGAGGAAUUCCUAGUAAGCACUAGUCAUCAGCUAAUGUUGAUUAUGUCCCUGCCCUUUGUACACACCGCCCGUCGCUACUACUGAUUGGGUGUUCAAGUGAGAUGCUUAGACCCUUGUUGCAUGGUUCAUUAUUGUGCUCCGAAAGGAAAAAGUUUCAAGCUUGAGUGUUUAGAGGAAGUAAAAGUCGUAACA
rnacentral:rRNA from 1 species